rnacentral:rRNA from 1 species
AAAUUGAAGAGUUUGAUCAUGGCUCAGAUUGAACGCUGGCGGCAGGCCUAACACAUGCAAGUCGAACGGUAACAGGAAGCAGCUUGCUGCUUCGCUGACGAGUGGCGGACGGGUGAGUAAUGUCUGGGAAACUGCCUGAUGGAGGGGGAUAACUACUGGAAACGGUAGCUAAUACCGCAUAAUGUCGCAAGACCAAAGAGGGGGACCUUCGGGCCUCUUGCCAUCGGAUGUGCCCAGAUGGGAUUAGCUUGUUGGUGGG